rnacentral:rRNA from 1 species
AUUGAACGCUGGCGGCAGGCCUAACACAUGCAAGUCGAACGAGUGGCGGACGGGUGAGUAAUGUCUGGGAAACUGCCUGAUGGAGGGGGAUAACUACUGGAAACGGUAGCUAAUACCGCAUACCAUCGGAUGUGCCCAGAUGGGCUUCGCUAGUAGGUGGGGUAACGGCUCACCUAGGCGACGAUCCCGAGGUGGUCUGAGAGGAUGACCAGCCACACUGGAACUGUGACACGGUCCAUACGCCUACGGGAGGCAGCAGUGGGGAAUAUUGCACAAUGGGCGCAAGCCUGAUGCAGCCAGGCCGCGUGUAUGAAGAAGGCCUUCGGGUUGUAAAGUACUUUCAGCGGGGAGGCGUUACCCGCAGAAGAAGCACCGGCUAACUCCGUGCCAGCAGCCGCGGUAAUAC